rnacentral:rRNA from 1 species
AAACUGAAGAGUUUGAUCCUGGCUCAGAUUGAACGCUGGCGGCAUGCCUAACACAUGCAAGUCGAACGGUAACAGCAGAGCUUGCUCUGGCUGACGAGUGGCGGACGGGUGAGUAAUGCAUAGGAAUCUGCCCAUGUAGUGGGGGAUAACCUGGGGAAACUCAGGCUAAUACCGCAUGAGCCCUACGGGGGAAAGCAGGGGAUCUUCGGACCUUGCGCUAUUGGAUGAGCCUAUGUCGGAUUAGCUUGUUGGUGGGGUAAAAGCCUACCAAGGCGACGAUCCGUAGCUGGUCUGAGAGGAUGAUCAGCCACACUGGGACUGAGACACGGCCCAGACUCCUACGGGAGGCAGCAGUGGGGA